UACGGGGGGGGCUAGCGUUGUUCGGAAUUACUGGGCGUAAAGGGCGCGUAGGCGGCCAGGUAGGUCUGCUGUGAAAACUCGAGGCUCAACCUCGAGACGUCGGCGGAAACCAUCUGGCUAGAGUCCGGAAGAGGAGAGUGGAAUUCCUGGUGUAGCGGUGAAAUGCGCAGAUAUCAGGAAGAACACCCGUGGCGAAGGCGGCUCUCUGGGACGGUACUGACGCUGAGACGCGAAAGCGUGGGGAGCGAACAGG
rnacentral:rRNA from 1 species